UGAGCAAAUUAUUGUAUUCGACUGUAUUCACGGCAUGAAACAGGGGAUAACACUGUUUUUAAACGGAAAGUGAA
rnacentral:pre_miRNA from 1 species